AAUCGAACGUGGAGAUAGCUGGUUCUCCCCGAAAUAGCUUUAGGGCUAGCCUCAUGGCAAGAGUGCAGGCGGUAGAGCACUGAACAGGGUAGGGGCCUAUCCGGCUACCGAACCUAAUCAAACUACGAAUGGCUGUACUUAUCCAUGGGAGUCAGACUGCGAGUGAUAAGACCCGUAGUCAAGAGGGAAACAGCCCAGACCAACAGCUAAGGUCCCCAAUGCCGUACUAAGUGGUAAAGGAUGUGGAGUUUCGAAAACAACCAGGAUGUUGGCUUAGAAGCAGCCACCAUUAAAAGAGUGCGUAAUAGCUCACUGGUCGAGAGACUCUGCGCCGAAGAUGACCGGGGCUAAAGUACGGAACCGAAGCUUUGGCAUGUAUGUAAAUACAUGGGUAGGGGAGCGUUCCUGCAUGGGCGAAGCCUGACCGGAAGGACAGGUGGACAGGCAGGAAGUGAGAAUGCCGGUAUGAGUAGCGAAAAGAAAGGUGAGAAUCCUUUCCACCGAAAGCCUAAGGGUUCCUGGGCAACGAUCGUCGACCCAGGGUAAGUCGGGACCUAAUCCGAGGCGAAGACGCAUAGGAGAUGGACAACAGGUUGAAAUUCCUGUACCGACGUCGUCUGUUUGAGCGAUGGAGUGACACAAGAAGGAAAGUUCGCAUGCGAUUGGAAGAGCAUGUCUAAGCAGGUAGGUUGAAUACCAGGCAAAUCCGGUAUUCUAAAAGCCGAGAAGUGAUAGGGAGCCUGUAGAAAUACAGGUGAAGGAACCGGGACUCGAUUGUCAAGAAAAGCUUCUAGUGAGGACGACGCCGCCCGUACCAAAACCGACACAGGUAGGCAAGAAGAGAAUUCUAAGGUGCGCGGGAAAACCCUCGUUAAGGAACUCGGCAAAAUGUAUCCGUAACUUCGGGAAAAGGAUAACCCAGAGUACGUGAAGGAAAGAAACAUCCGGAGCGGGAAUGGGUGGCACAAGAGAGGCCCAAGCGACUGUUUACCACAAACACAGGCGUCUGCUAAAGAGAAAUCUGAUGUAUAGAUGCUGACACCUGCCCGGUGCUGGAAGGUUAAGAGGACGUGUUAGCCGCAAGGCGAAGCAGAGAAUUGAAGCCCCAGUAAACGGCGGCCGUAACUAUAACGGUCCUAAGGUAGCGAAAUUCCUUGUCGGGUAAGUUCCGACCCGCACGAAAGGUGUAACGAUUUGGGCACUGUCUCAACGAGGGACCCGGUGAAAUUGAAGUACCUGUGAAGAUGCAGGUUACCCGCGACUGGACAGAAAGACCCCAUGGAGCUUUACUGUAACCUGAGAUUGAAUUUUGGUAGAAGAUGUACAGGAUAGUUGGGAGACGUAGAAGCGCGCACGCCAGUGUACGCAGAGUCGAUGGUGGGAUACCAACCUUGUUUUAUUGAAAUUCUAACGAGAGCCGUAACGAGGCUGCGGACAGUCUCAGGCGGGCAGUUUGACUGGGGCGGUCGCCUCCGAAAGAGCAACGGAGGCGCCCAAAGGUUCCCUCAGCGCGGACGGAAACCGCGCGAAGAGUGUAAAGGCAGAAGGGAGCUUGACUGCGAGACGGACAGGUCGAGCAGGGACGAAAGUCGGGCUUAGUGAUCCGGUGGUAGAGAGUGGAAUUGCCAUCGCUCAACGGAUAAAAGCUACCCUGGGGAUAACAGGCUUAUCUCUCCCAAGAGUCCAUAUCGACGGGGAGGUUUGGCACCUCGAUGUCGGCUCAUCACAUCCUGGGGCUGUAGUAGGUCCCAAGGGUUGGGCUGUUCGCCCAUUAAAGUGGUACGCGAGCUGGGUUCAGAACGUCGUGAGACAGUUCGGUCCCUAUCCAUCGCGGGCGCAAGAAACUUGAAGGGGGCUGCUCCUAGUACGAGAGGACCGGAGUGGACGAACCGCUGGUGUACCAAUUAUCCUGCCAAGGGUACAGUUGGGUAGCUACGUUCGGGACGGAUAAACGCUGAAAGCAUCUAAGCGUGAAACCAGCCUAAAGAUGAGGUUUCU
rnacentral:rRNA from 1 species